rnacentral:lncRNA from 1 species
AUAAAGAUGUUUAUGUAGCUGUUGCAAAAGACUUACAGAAAUUCACUGUAGCAGAGAAUCAAAGUGCUGAACAAAGGAUAAAAGAACUAGCAACAGUGAAGCCAGCUGAAGAACUGCAGUGAGAAUCUGGGGCUGUUCUCUGUCCCGUUGUGGUUGCAGAGAGUUGUAUGCCAGGGCCGGCAUGUCCCAGCAAGGAGCAUCGAGCACGUCACAGCACCAUUCUGGGAGGAGCUGUAAAGGUGCAGGCUGACACUGUGCUUGUGGAAGUGGAAGUCACAGAAUUCAGGUGCCGAAGAGCUGGUGUCUCCCUGAAUCUCGACAUUAUCUGACCUCAGAUGAAUCUUGAAAUGGUAUCCCUAGGAGCACAAAUGGCAUUCAGAUGCUUCAGCUGAGAAAUUUUUCACACCUUUGGAAAACUUUGCAUCAGAAGAAGAAAGGAUAACUUGUUCUCCAAACUUUACAAGAGUUCCAAACCAAGAUUUUCACGAAACAAGGCAGUGGAAGGAGUGCCUCCUUGAAGAAAAGCAAACUAACAGGAGAGAGGCACAGGAAAACAGAUGAAGACAUUAAGCAACUCUAGAGAGGGCAUAUGUAAAUGUAUUUAUGUCU